rnacentral:lncRNA from 1 species
AAAUACCUUGGGCCCACUUUGAUCCCCCAUAAUUUUGGUUUGGUUGAAGAGAAAAAAAGAUCAAGAGACAGCUCGGAAGUGCACUACACUAAGUAAUCGAUACCAGUACGAACCUAUCAACAGAGACUAUUUAUCCCAUCUACUUUUCCCAAUUUCUACUUCCAUAUUUCUCCACUCUCCGGAAAUCUAGAGUAUUUUUUCCGAUCAAAAUGGAUUACCCGCAUGGCCACACCCACCACCAAAGCCACUACCGCCGUGAUGAGCGAGAAGAAGAAUACCCACCGCCGCAGCCGCAUGUCGGACCUCCCUUUGAUCCCUACCACAAUCAACCUCCACCGCCGCCGCAUGUCGGACCUCCCUUUGAUCCCUAUCACAAUCAACCUCCACCGCCGCCGUAUGUCCGUCCCGCCGACUUUGAUCCCUACGAUCAACCGCCGCCGCCUGUGGCAACCCACGUGCAUCACAGCUCCUAUGGAGCUGAACCGUACCCUAAUUAUCCACCACAGCCGACUACAGAUUACUAUAAUCCACCACCACCAC